ACCCAAUGCUCUUUGUCAGGAUUCCUCCUCUUUUUUUUCCCAUGGAGGUCAUCUGUUACAGCAUUGGGAUAUCAAACCUGCCAUUCUCGACCGGCACGAUCUCGUGCCGGUAAUUGAUGGGUGCCGUUUUGGUUACUAUCUUGAGAUGGUGCAAGGGUCAAAUGAGUUGAAGCUCACCAACGCCCGCUUCGGGCAAUUGACUGGCUGCUUCUUAGUUAUGAUUCUUACAGUC
rnacentral:snoRNA from 1 species